rnacentral:rRNA from 1 species
GUGUCAGCCGCCGCGGUAAUACGGAGGGUGCAAGCGUUAAUCGGAAUCACUGGGCGUAAAGCGCUCGUAGGCGGCCUUUUAAGUCAGGGGUGAAAUCCCACCGCUCACCGGUGGAACUGCCCUUGAUACUGAUUGGCUUGAGUGUGUGAGAGGAUGGUGGAAUUCCUGGUGUAGGAGUGAAAUCCGUAGAGAUCAGGAGGAAGAUCAGUGGCGAAGGCGACCAUCUGGCACAAUACUGACGCUGAGGAGCGAAAGCGUGGGUAGCAAACAGGAUUAGAUACCCUGGUAGUCCACGCUGUAAACGAUGGAUACUAGGUGCUGGGGGCUCGACUCUCGGUGCCGUAGCUAACGCGUUAAGUAUCCCGCCUGGGGAGUACGGUCGCAAGGCUGAAACUCAAAUAAAUUGACGG